AAUAGAUACCCGGGUAGUCCACCCCGUAAACGUUGGGAACUAGUUGUGGGGUCCUUUCCACGGAUUCCGUGACGCAGCUAACGCAUUAAGUUCCCCGCCUGGGGAGUACGGCCGCAAGGCUAAAACUCAAAGGAAUUGACGGGGACCCGCACAAGCGGCGGAGCAUGCGGAUUAAUUCGAUGCAACGCGAAGAACCUUACCAAGGCUUGACAUACACCAGAACACCCUAGAAAUAGGGGACUCUUUGGACACUGGUGAACAGGUGGUGCAUGGUUGUCGUCAGCUCGUGUCGUGAGAUGUUGGGUUAAGUCCCGCAACGAGCGCAACCCUCGUUCUAUGUUGCCAGCACGUAAUGGUGGGAACUCAUGGGAUACUGCCGGGGUCAACUCGGAGGAAGGUGGGGAUGACGUCAAAUCAUCAUGCCCCUUAUGUCUUGGGCUUCACGCAUGCUACAAUGGCCGGUACAAAGGGCUGCAAUACCGUGAGGUGGAGCGAAUCCCACAAAGCCGGUCUCAGUUCGGAUUGGAGUCUGCAACUCGACUCC
rnacentral:rRNA from 1 species